rnacentral:rRNA from 1 species
GGGUUGUGAGGUUAAGCGACUAAGCGUACACGGUGGAUGCCCUGGCAGUCAGAGGCGAUGAAGGACGUGCUAAUCUGCGAUAAGCGUCGGUAAGGUGAUAUGAACCGUUAUAACCGGCGAUUUCCGAAUGGGGAAACCCAGUGUGAUUCGUCACACUAUCAUUAACUGAAUCCAUAGGUUAAUGAGGCGAACCGGGGGAACUGAAACAUCUAAGUACCCCGAGGAAAAGAAAUCAACCGAGAUUCCCCCAGUAGCGGCGAGCGAACGGGGAGCAGCCCAGAGCCUGAAUCAGUGUGUGUGUUAGUGGAAGCGUCUGGAAAGGCGUGCGAUACAGGGUGACAGCCCCGUACACAAAAAUGCACAUGCUGUGAGCUCGAUGAGUAGGGCGGGACACGUGGUAUCCUGUCUGAAUAUGGGGGGACCAUCCUCCAAGGCUAAAUACUCCUGACUGACCGAUAGUGAACCAGUACCGUGAGGGAAAGGCGAAAAGAACCCCGGCGAGGGGAGUGAAAAAGAACCUGAAACCGUGUACGUACAAGCAGUGGGAGCACAGAGCAAUCUGUGUGACUGCGUACCUUUUGUAUAAUGGGUCAGCGACUUAUAUUCUGUAGCAAGGUUAACCGAAUAGGGGAGCCGAAGGGAAACCGAGUCUUAACUGGGCGUUAAGUUGCAGGGUAUAGACCCGAAACCCGGUGAUCUAGCCAUGGGCAGGUUGAAGGUUGGGUAACACUAACUGGAGGACCGAACCGACUAAUGUUGAAAAAUUAGCGGAUGACUUGUGGCUGGGGGUGAAAGGCCAAUCAAACCGGGAGAUAGCUGGUUCUCCCCGAAAGCUAUUUAGGUAGCGCCUCGUGAAUUCAUCUCCGGGGGUAGAGCACUGUUUCGGCAAGGGGGUCAUCCCGACUUACCAACCCGAUGCAAACUGCGAAUACCGGAGAAUGUUAUCACGGGAGACACACGGCGGGUGCUAACGUCCGUCGUGAAGAGGGAAACAACCCAGACCGCCAGCUAAGGUCCCAAAGUCAUGGUUAAGUGGGAAACGAUGUGGGAAGGCCCAGACAGCCAGGAUGUUGGCUUAGAAGCAGCCAUCAUUUAAAGAAAGCGUAAUAGCUCACUGGUCGAGUCGGCCUGCGCGGAAGAUGUAACGGGGCUAAACCAUGCACCGAAGCUGCGGCAGCGACACUAUGUGUUGUUGGGUAGGGGAGCGUUCUGUAAGCCUGCGAAGGUGUGCUGUGAGGCAUGCUGGAGGUAUCAGAAGUGCGAAUGCUGACAUAAGUAACGAUAAAGCGGGUGAAAAGCCCGCUCGCCGGAAGACCAAGGGUUCCUGUCCAACGUUAAUCGGGGCAGGGUGAGUCGACCCCUAAGGCGAGGCCGAAAGGCGUAGUCGAUGGGAAACAGGUUAAUAUUCCUGUACUUGGUGUUACUGCGAAGGGGGGACGGAGAAGGCUAUGUUGGCCGGGCGACGGUUGUCCCGGUUUAAGCGUGUAGGCUGGUUUUCCAGGCAAAUCCGGAAAAUCAAGGCUGAGGCGUGAUGACGAGGCACUACGGUGCUGAAGCAACAAAUGCCCUGCUUCCAGGAAAAGCCUCUAAGCAUCAGGUAACAUCAAAUCGUACCCCAAACCGACACAGGUGGUCAGGUAGAGAAUACCAAGGCGCUUGAGAGAACUCGGGUGAAGGAACUAGGCAAAAUGGUGCCGUAACUUCGGGAGAAGGCACGCUGAUAUGUAGGUGAAGUCCCUCGCGGAUGGAGCUGAAAUCAGUCGAAGAUACCAGCUGGCUGCAACUGUUUAUUAAAAACACAGCACUGUGCAAACACGAAAGUGGACGUAUACGGUGUGACGCCUGCCCGGUGCCGGAAGGUUAAUUGAUGGGGUCAGCGCAAGCGAAGCUCUUGAUCGAAGCCCCGGUAAACGGCGGCCGUAACUAUAACGGUCCUAAGGUAGCGAAAUUCCUUGUCGGGUAAGUUCCGACCUGCACGAAUGGCGUAAUGAUGGCCAGGCUGUCUCCACCCGAGACUCAGUGAAAUUGAACUCGCUGUGAAGAUGCAGUGUACCCGCGGCAAGACGGAAAGACCCCGUGAACCUUUACUAUAGCUUGACACUGAACAUUGAGCCUUGAUGUGUAGGAUAGGUGGGAGGCUUUGAAGUGUGGACGCCAGUCUGCAUGGAGCCGACCUUGAAAUACCACCCUUUAAUGUUUGAUGUUCUAACGUUGACCCGUGAUCCGGGUUGCGGACAGUGUCUGGUGGGUAGUUUGACUGGGGCGGUCUCCUCCUAAAGAGUAACGGAGGAGCACGAAGGUUGGCUAAUCCUGGUCGGACAUCAGGAGGUUAGUGCAAUGGCAUAAGCCAGCUUGACUGCGAGCGUGACGGCGCGAGCAGGUGCGAAAGCAGGUCAUAGUGAUCCGGUGGUUCUGAAUGGAAGGGCCAUCGCUCAACGGAUAAAAGGUACUCCGGGGAUAACAGGCUGAUACCGCCCAAGAGUUCAUAUCGACGGCGGUGUUUGGCACCUCGAUGUCGGCUCAUCACAUCCUGGGGCUGAAGUAGGUCCCAAGGGUAUGGCUGUUCGCCAUUUAAAGUGGUACGCGAGCUGGGUUUAGAACGUCGUGAGACAGUUCGGUCCCUAUCUGCCGUGGGCGCUGGAGAACUGAGGGGGGCUGCUCCUAGUACGAGAGGACCGGAGUGGACGCAUCACUGGUGUUCGGGUUGUCAUGCCAAUGGCACUGCCCGGUAGCUAAAUGCGGAAGAGAUAAGUGCUGAAAGCAUCUAAGCACGAAACUUGCCCCGAGAUGAGUUCUCCCUGACUCCUUGAGAGUCCUGAAGGAACGUUGAAGACGACGACGUUGAUAGGCCGGGUGUGUAAGCGCAGCGAUGCGUUGAGCUAACCGGUACUAAUGAACCGUGAGGCUUAACCUUACAACGCCGAAGCUGUU